GCGAGAUGCGGUCAAUGUGCAGGGGUAAUAGUGAGGAUGCAAGCGGUUAUCGGAAUUAGUGUGCGUAAAGCUUGCGCAGGCGGUUAUGUAAGACAGAGGUGAAGUCCCCGGGCUAAACCUGUGAACUGCAUUUGUGACUGUAUAGCUAGAGUAAGGCAGAGUGGGAUGGAAUUCCGCGUGUAGGAGUGAAAUGCGUAGAUAGGCGGAGGAACACCGAUGGCGAAGGCAAUCCCCUGGGCCUGUACUGACGCUCAUGCACGAAAGCGUGGGGAGCAAACAGGAUUAGAUACCCGAGUAGUC
rnacentral:rRNA from 1 species